rnacentral:rRNA from 1 species
GACAGAGGGUGCGAACGUUGUUCGGAAUUACUGGGCGUAAAGCGCAUGUAGGCGGCAGCGCAAGUCGGGCGUGAAAUCCCACGGCUCAACCGUGGAAGUGCACUCGAAACUGCGCAGCUAGAGUCCUGGAGAGGAAGGUGGAAUGCUUGGUGUAGAGGUGAAAUGCGUAGAUAUCAUUUGGAACGCCAAUGGUGAAAACAGGUAGCUGGGGCUGUGCUGACACUGAGACACGAAAGCCAGGGGAGCAAACGGG